rnacentral:rRNA from 1 species
UUGAACGCUGGCGGCAUGGCUAAAACAUGCAAGUCGAACGGACCCGCAAGAGUUAGUGGCGGAAGGGUCAGUAAUACGAUCGAAUGUACCUCGAGGUAGGGGGAUAGGCAUGGGAAACUGUGCGUAAUACCCCAUGUGGUCUACGGACUAAAGAUUUAUCGCCUUGAGAGCAGCGAUCGUCCUAUCAGGUAGUUGGCGGGGUAACGGCCCACCAAGCCUAAGACGGGUAGCGGGUGUGAGAGCACGGCCCGCGACAUCGGGACUGAGACACUGCCCGGACUCCUACGGGAGGCUGCAGUAACGAAUAUUCCGCAAUGCGCGAAAGCGUGACGGAGCAAUGCCGCGUGCAGGAUGAAGCGGUUUCGCCGUGUAAACUGCUGUCAGGGGUCGGAAACACUGAUCCGCCCAGAGGAAGAGACGGCUAACCCUGUGCCAACAGCCGCGGUAAGACAGGGGUCUCGAGCGUUAAUCGGAAUCACUGGGCUUAAAGGGUGCGUAGGCGGCUUCGUAAGUGCUUUGUGAAAGCCCCCGGCUCAACCGGGGAACUGCAGGGCAUACUGCGUGGCUUGAGGAAACUAGAGGCCGGUAGAACGAUAGGUGGAGCGGUGGAAUGCGUAGAUAUCUAUCGGAAUGCCGAAAGUGAAGACAGCCGGCUGGGGUUUUCCUGACGCUGAGGCACGAAAGCGUGGGGAGCAAACCGGAUUAGAUACCCGGGUAGUCCACGCCCUAAACGAUGCACACUAGACUGGAGCAGCUCUGACGUUGUUCUGGUCGUAGAGAAAUUGCUAAGUGUGCCGCCUGGGGAGUACGGUCGCAAGGCUAAAACUCAAAGGAAUUGACGGGGGCUCACACAAGCGGUGGAGCAUGUUGCUUAAUUCGAAGCAACGCGAAGAACCUUACCUGGGUUUGACAUGUACGGAUUAGUUUCUGGAAACAGGAAUGACACCCGCAAGGGUGGAACGUGCACAGGUGCUGCAUGGCUGUCGUCAGCUCGUGCUGUGAAGUGUCGGGUUAAGUCCCUUAACGAGCGCAACCCCUGUCGCUAGUUGCCAGCGAGUAAAGUCGGGUACUCUAGCGAGACUGCCGGUGUCAAACCGGAGGAAGGCGGGGAUGACGUCAAGUCCUCAUGGCCCUUACAUCCAGGGUUGCAAACGUGCUACGAUGGCGCGUACAAAGCGACGCGAGGCCGCAAGGCGGAGCAAAUCGCAAAGAACGCGCCCCAGUUCGGAUUGCAGGCUGCAACUCGCCUGCAUGAAGCCGGAAUCGCUAGUAAUCGGAGAUCAGCUGCGCUCCGGUGAAUAAGUUCCUGAGCCUCGUACACACCGCCCGUCAAGUCAUGGGAGCCGGUAGCGCCCGAAGUCGCCACGUUUCAGUGGUGCCAACGGCAAGAUCGGUGACUGGGACU